AUGAACGCUAGCGACAGGCCUAACACAUGCAAGUCGAGGGGCAGCACAAGGAGCAAUCUGAGGUGGCGACCGGCGCACGGGUGAGUAACACGUAUGCAACCUGCCUGUAAGCGGGGAAUAACCCGUUGAAAGACGGACUAAUACCGCAUAAUACUAAAUUACUGCAUGGUAAUUUAUUUAAACAUUUAUGGCUUACAGAUGGGCAUGCGCAUGAUUAGCUAGUUGGAGAGGUAACGGCUCCCCAAGGCAACGAUCAUUAGGGGUUCUGAGAGGAAGGUCCCCCACACUGGUACUGAGACACGGACCAGACUCCUACGGGAGGCAGCAGUGAGGAAUAUUGGUCAAUGGACGAGAGUCUGAACCAGCCAAGUCGCGUGCAGGAAGAAUGUCCUAUUGGAUUGUAAACUGCUUUUGCAGGGGAAUAAAGUGCAUCACGUGUGAUGUUCUGUAUGUACUCUGCGAAUAAGGAUCGGCUAACUCCGUGCCAGCCGCUGC
rnacentral:rRNA from 1 species